UUUUUUUCCCCUUUAAGCGUCACUUGUUUGAAGCAACUCAAAGUCUACAACGGAAAGAGAAGUAUGAAAGAGAAGCUAAAUAUGCUUUACAAUUAUACUGUUGACUGCAACAAAAUUAAACCACUACAACUUACUGUACAUUUAUCUGACAGGGACUGCAUUGCCUCUAAAAGGGGUCAGACCUUUCCCAUGUCAUUUACAAGGAGAAUUUUUUGGUGAGGCAAAAUGGAUUACGCCAGGUAAUUGUAUAUCUGAGGGUUGUUCUUGUCUCGCUCAAGGUACUCCCUGUCAAUGAGGCUCUCUAUCCUUUUCUUCAAAUCAGCGGGCUUGAUAGGAAACUUCAGCUGUUGGAAGAGUUCAGUAAUCAGAAGCGUGUGACUUAGCACUUUCCUUGUCUUCAUUAUCCGAACAAU
rnacentral:misc_RNA from 1 species